rnacentral:rRNA from 1 species
GAUGAACGCUGGCGGCAUGCCUAAUACAUGCAAGUCGAACGAGAGGAAGGAAAGCUUGCUUUUCUGAAUCUAGUGGCGAACGGGUGAGUAACACGUAGGUAACCUGCCCAUGUGCCCGGGAUAACUUCUGGAAACGGAUGCUAAAACCGGAUAGGUAGCAGACAAGCAUUUGACUGCUAUUAAAGUGGCUAAGGCCAUGAACAUGGAUGGACCUGCGGUGCAUUAGCUAGUUGGUGAGGUAACGGCCCACCAAGGCGACGAUGCAUAGCCGGCCUGAGAGGGCGGACGGCCACAUUGGGACUGAGACACGGCCCAAACUCCUACGGGAGGCAGCAGUAGGGAAUUUUCGUCAAUGGGGGGAACCCUGAACGAGCAAUGCCGCGUGAGUGAGGAAGGUCUUCGGAUCGUAAAGCUCUGUUGUAAGAGAAAAACGACAUUCCUCUGGAAUGAUGAGUGAGUGAUGGUAUCUUACCAGAAAGUCACGGCUAACUACGUGCCAGCAGCCGCGGUAA